GACGAACGCUGGCGGCGUGCUUAACACAUGCAAGUCGAACGGAAAGGCCCCUUUGGGGGUACUCGAGUGGCGAACGGGUGAGUAACACGUGAGUAACCUGCCCUUGACUUCGGGAUAACUUCAGGAAACUGGGGCUAAUACCGGAUAGGAAUCCUUGCUGCAUGGUGGGGGUUGGAAAGCUUCGGCGGUUUUGGAUGGACUCGCGGCUUAUCAGCUUGUUGGUGGGGUAGUGGCUUACCAAGGCUUUGACGGGUAGCCGGCCUGGGAGGGCGACCGGCCACAUUGGGACUGAGAUACGGCCCAGACUCCUACGGGAGGCAGCAGUGGGGAAUAUUGCACAAUGGGCGGAAGCCUGAUGCAGCAACGCCGCGUGCGGGAGGACGGCCUUCGGGUUGUAAACCGCUUUCAGCAGGGGCGAAGCUUGUGGUGACGGUACCUGCAGAAGAAGCACCGGCUAACUACGUG
rnacentral:rRNA from 1 species